rnacentral:misc_RNA from 1 species
GAAAUGCGAUAAGUAAUGUGAAUUGCAGAAUUCAGUGAAUCAUCGAACCUUUGAACGCACAUUGCGUCCGCCAGCACUCUGGCGGGCAUGCCUGUUCGAGCGUCAUUUCAACCCUCAGAACCCCUUGCGGGAUCUGGCGUUGGGGAUUGGCAUCCAGCCAGCCCCGAAAUCUAGUGGCGGUCCCUCCGCGACCUCCCCUGUGCAGUAGCGAUACCUCGCAGCGGGACAGCGGUCUGACCACGCCGUAAAACCCCCAACUUCUCAAGGUUGACCUCGAAUCAGGUAGGAAUACCCGCUGAACUUAAGC